rnacentral:rRNA from 1 species
AUUGAACGCUGGCGGCAUGCUUUACACAUGCAAGUCGAACGGCAGCGCGGGCUUCGGCCUGGCGGCUAGUGGCGCACGGGUGAGUAAUGCAUCUGAACGUGCCCAGUUGUGGGGGAUAGCCCGGCGAAAGCCGGAUUAAUACCGCAUACUACCUGAGGGUGAAAGCGGGGGACCGAAAGGCCUCGCGCUAUUGGGGCGGCCGAUGUCGGGUUAGCUAGUUGGUGGGGUAAAGGCUUACCAAGGCGACGAUCCGUAGCUGGUCUGAGAGGACGACCAGCCACCCGGGGACUGGAACACGGCCCAGACGACUAAGAGAGGCAGCAGUGGGGAAUGUUGGACAAUGGGGGCAAACCUGAUCCAGCCAUGCCGCGUGCGGGAAGAAGGCCUUCGGGUUGUAAACCGCUUUUGUUCGGGAAGAAAUGCUCUGGGCUAAUACCACGGGGGGAUGACGGUACCGGAAGAAGAAGCACCGGCUAACUACGUG